rnacentral:tRNA from 1 species
UCCAGGGUAGCCUAGUGGACAUGGCAUCUGCCUGGUAAGCUGAACACUGGGUUCGAUUCCCAUCCCUGGAC